GACGAACGCUGGCGGCGCGCCUAACACAUGCAAGUCGAACGGAGCGUUGCGAGAGGAAGCCCUUCGGGGCCGAAUCAUGCAAUUGCUUAGUGGCGAACGGGUGAGUAACACGUGAAUAACCUACCUCCGAGCGGGGGACAACAUCUGGAAACGGAUGCUAAUACCGCAUAAGACCACGGUGCCGCAUGGCACAGUGGCCAAAGGAUUUAUCCACUUGGAGAUGGAUUCGCGCCCGAUUAGAUAGUUGGUGAGGUAAUGGCUCACCAAGUCGACGAUCGGUAGCCGGACUGAGAGGUUGAACGGCCACAUUGGGACUGAGACACGGCCCAGACUCCUACGGGAGGCAGCAGUGGGGAAUAUUGCACAAUGGGCGAAAGCCUGAUGCAGCGACGCCGCGUGGAGGAAGAAGGUUUUCGGAUUGUAAACUCCUGUCUUCGGGGGCGAUAAUGACGGUACCCGAGGAGGAAGCCACGGCUAACUACGUGCCAGCAGCCGCCGUAAUAC
rnacentral:rRNA from 1 species